GUUGUUAAAUAACCAGACACCUUCACGGGGGGCUGAUCAGGGAGGCCCCAAAAGGUCCCAAAAGAAUGAAGCCCUUGUGUGUAUUUAAGACCCACUCCACAGAAGGGAGCCCAUGUCUAGCACUAUAAACCCCAUCCUUGCCUGGGGAAGUCAUGAGUCUAAGGAAGAAACUUACUACUGUUGUCUAACUAAAUUGACAAGGCAUCAAACUGCUGUCCAAAUAUCUGUUUAUACACACAGACAAGUGAACCACACUGAAUGCAGCUGCCCAAGAUCCUGAGCAAAAGUGACAGUUUAGGCCUAAAAUCACACAGAAGAGGGGGAAGGAAGUAUGGAAGAGCCAAAGCCGGGGCCUGGAUGUGGCCAGUGUGGACUCCUUGAGCUAGCUAACUCACCAAGAGAUCUUGCAGAUACUGCAGCGCUCACCUGGACUGAGAGGAACCUCGUGGAUGGGCAAUGUGAGGUAAGCAAUGUGGGUCAAACUGGGCAACAGAGCUGCUGUGUGGGUCCAGAGGGGCAGUGUGGAUUAGAUUUGGCAUUUUUAUUCUUUGCCCUCCUAUCUGAUUACUCCCUUUACACAUCCUGUUGCUUUUUUUGCAGCCUAAGUUUUGAAGGAUGUGUGUUCAGAGUGAAUUAUAUGCACAGG
rnacentral:lncRNA from 1 species